AUUGAACGCUGGCGGCAUGCCUUACACAUGCAAGUCGAACGGCAGCACGGGUGCUUGCACCUGGUGGCGAGUGGCGAACGGGUGAGUAAUACAUCGGAACGUACCUUAUCGUGGGGGAUAACGCAGCGAAAGCUGUGCUAAUACCGCAUACGCCCUGAGGGGGAAAGCGGGGGAUCGCAGGACCUCGCGCGAUUAGAGCGGCCGAUGCCUGAUUAGCUUGUUGGUGGGGUAAAAGCCCACCAAGGCGACGAUCAGUAGCUGGUCUGAGAGGACGAUCAGCCAGACUGGGACUGAGACACGGCCCAGACUCCUCCGGGAGGCAGCAGUGGGGAAUUUUGGACAAUGGGGGCAACCCUGAUCCAGCAAUGCCGCGUGAGUGAAGAAGGCCUUCGGGUUGUAAAGCUCUUUUGUCAGGGAAGAAACACCGGCUCUAACACAGUCCGGGAAUGACGGUACCUGAAGAAUAAGCACCGGCUAACUACGUGCCAGCCGCCGCCGUAA
rnacentral:rRNA from 1 species